AAAGGAGGGUCUACAAGUUCGCGAUAUAUCUCUAUGUCUAUCGAGAUUUAUUCAAUCAGCGAUCGAGGAUUUUCGCUGGCAGGUGUUGGAUUGUCGGAUUGGUUGUUGAAGAUUUGGAUCGGUGGAGUUUUAUCUGAUUUCCUUAUUUUGGCCCCUCUAAACUGAAGGUUGGGGUUUUUUCCUUCUGUUGAUGCGAUCUGCGAAUUGUCAUUGAAAACCUCAGAUUUGCCCCGAGUGGAAGCAAUAUUUCUUGGAUGCGAUGA
rnacentral:misc_RNA from 1 species